UACGGAGGUGGCAAGCGUUGUCCGGCAUUAUUGGGCGUAAAGCGCGCGCAGGCGGCCUUUUAAGUCUGAUGUAAAAGCCCCCGGCUCAACCGGGGAGGGUCAUUGGAAACUGGGAGACUUGAGUGCAGAAGAGGAGAGUGGAAUUCCACGUGUAGCGGUGAAAUGCGUAGAUAUGUGGAGGAACACCAGUGGCGAAGGCGACUCUCUGGUCUGUAACUGACGCUGAGGCGCGAAAGCGUGGGGGGCAAACAGG
rnacentral:misc_RNA from 1 species